CCAACAGGAAGCUCUCCACCUCCAGAAGGUUAGUCUGGCCCACAAGGACAAGCACCACAGGAAGGUGAUUGCCCACCUCCACCACGACGAGGCCCUCCACCUCCCGAAGGUAAAGGACGAGAUGCCAGAGGUCCUAGAGGAAGAAGACCCCCUCCUCCACGCAGGAACUAACUUAGUUUCAAGAUUUUCCCUUCGUUAAUAAAAUCGUAAUAGAGA